rnacentral:rRNA from 1 species
GACGAACGCUGGCGGCGGGCUUAACACAUGCAAGUCGAACGGAAAGGCCCUGCGUUUGUGGGGUGCUCGAGUGGCGAACGGGUGAGUAACACGUGAGUAACCUGCCCUUGACUUUGGGAUAACUUCAGGAAACUGGGGCUAAUACCGGAUAGGAGCUCCUGCUGCAUGGUGGGGGUUGGAAAGUUUCGGCGGUUGGGGAUGGACGCGCGGCUUAUCAGCUUGUUGGUGGGGUAGUGGCUUACCAAGGCUUUGACGGGUAGCCGGCCUGAGAGGGUGACCGGCCACAAUAGGACUGAGAUACGGACCAGACUCCUACGGGAGGCAGCAGUGGGGAAUAUUGCACAAUGGGCGGGAGCCUGAUGCAGCAACGCCGCGUGCGGGAUGACGGCCUUCGGGUUGUAAACCGCUUUCGCCUGUGACGAAGCGUGAGUGACGGUAAUGGGUAAAGAAGCACCGGCUAACUACGUG